AUCGCGGAAACAAUCUAGGUCAUAAAAACAACGCCCUCAGGUGACGAAAAUGGAAAAUAUUUGAGAAAAGAAAGUUUUGUUGAACCUCAAGAUGGAUCCAGGAAAUGAAAAUCCUUCAGAGAGCCCGGGUGUUCCAGUCAAUCUCAAUGAUCUACAACAUUACCUGGUUUCCUUUAACAAAGAAAUCGAACAGACUGAUGAUCCUGAUCAAUUUACAGUAGGAGCGGACACUGCUGGUGUGGUGGUUGGGGAAGCCUUAACAGAUGUUCAGACAGAGUCCGGGUUCAUCACCAUAGAAGCCCAGAAAGUGGAGCCAAUAGACUCUGGAAAUGUGGAAAAUGUUGUCAAUGUUGUUGAUCUGAAACUUCCUUAUGGUACCACUAUGGAUAUAAGUGAAGCUGUUCAGCAGCUAAGUCAGGUGGAGACAACUCCUGAUGUCGGUGGUCAAACUCAACCAAUUGCAAAUGGCCAACCCGAUGAAGUGUCUGUUGACCUGGAGGACCCCGGUAUUGACCAGGGUGUGACCAACUGUAUCAGUAUGGCAGAAGUCCAGGCACACAUGGCAGAGCUGGCUGCCCAGGGUCAAGUUACAAAACUGACCAAUGUGGAGGAACUCACCAAGGCAGUAAACAACAAACAGACAGAGUGCUUUAUGAAACAACUUGAGAUCCCUGUAAGUGAUUCAGGAGAUGGGGAGCAGAAGAUUGUCCAUGUUGUGUCCAUCGACGGUCAGGAGCACAUGCAGCUAGUGGAUGCUGGAGCUACAGGUCUGACCACAGGACUGAACACCAGCACCGGUCAACUCAUACACAUCCCUGCUGUGUCUACCACUCUCACAGACAGCAUUGAACAGGAACUCGCUAACACUGUUGGGAAUGGCUCAGAUCCUGUUGCUGUUCUGGCCUCUGUUGCGGCCAACACUUCCACACUCAACCAGCUACAGACAAUUACGGUGGGUCAGACAGAGCUAAAUUCAGCACAGGUCGUAGCUCUACAGAACUCGGCUGACAGUUCACAGCCACAGCUGGUUGCUGUUCAGGCUCAAGAAGGUGCCAUGGAAAUCUUGGGUGCAGAGGUAGAAAACCACUCCAACUCAAUUGUCCUAAACACAGGUGAUAACAACUUCCAAACGGUUACCAUUGUACCCUCCGAGAUGAAUCCCAGUGGAGAAAUGAGUUACGUGCUGAUUGUGUCACAGCCCGAUAAGGAUGAUGGCAAUAGCAUUGGUUCACCCAAACAGCUGUCCCUUGAUAUGAGCAGUAUGCUAGACAUGAAGGAUGAAACACAAGAAAUGGUGGAAGAAGUCGUUCAGGAGGACGGGACGACUCGCCGUAUCAUAACAUUUGUGCCAAAGCGUAUGUCAAUGCCAGUAUCCAACCAAGCACAGCUUAUGUGCCACUACUGUGAUUACACAAGUCCUAAGCGAUACCUAUUGAUGCGCCACAUGAAGACCCACUCAGAAGACCGACCACACAAGUGUAACAUAUGUGAUCGUGGAUUCAAGACAAUGGCUUCCCUACAGAAUCAUGUGAACACACACACCGGCACUAGGCCUCACAAGUGUAAAGGGUGUGGCUCAGCGUUCACCACCUCAGGUGAACUUGUCAGGCACAUUCGUUACAAACAUACAUUCGAGAAGCCCCACAAGUGUACCGAGUGUGACUAUGCUAGUGUAGAGCUUAGCAAGAUGAAGAGACACAUGCGUUCACACACAGGUGAGCGUCCGUAUCAUUGUCCCCACUGUAAUUAUGCCAGUCCUGAUACAUACAAGCUCAAGCGACACUUGCGGAUACAUACGGGGGAAAAGCCCUACGAAUGUGACGUAUGUCAUGCACGAUUCACUCAGAGCAACAGUCUCAAAGCUCACAAACUCAUCCACUCCGGUAAUAAACCUGUGUUUCUGUGUCACCUGUGUCCAACAACGUGUGGUCGCAAAACAGAUUUAAAAAUUCACAUGUCAAAGCUACACAGCAGUGCAAAACCUUUGACUUGUAAGAAGUGUGGGAGCACCUGCCCAGACAGAUACCAGUACAAAUUACACAUGAAAAGUCAUGAGGGAGAGAAGUGCUUCAAGUGUGAGCAGUGUGACUACGCUGCUCAGUCGCUCCGUCACCUGGAGAGUCACAUACUCACACACACAGGCGAAAAGCCAUUUGAUUGUAAGGAGUGUGGUCAGACGUUUCGCCAAAAGCAGUUGUUACGCCGACACAUAAACCUGUACCACUCACCGGAGUACAGCCCGCCAGAGACGCGUGACAAGAUGUACGAGUGUGAUGAAUGUGACAAGACAUUUGCUCAUAAGGGCAACUUGAUGCGUCACAUGCAACAACAUGACCCUGAUAGCCUUCAGUACAAGGACCUUGCUGGCCAGGGACGGUUACGUGAGAGUCUCUCAUCCCCACUCACUGCUGAACAACUGUUACAGGGUAGUCUGCUCACAGAGAUGAGAGAAGGAAAACUGGGAAACACACCCAAGAUAGUUAUAGUACACCCAGACGGGAGGGUCGAGGAGGUCACAUCCAAGCUACAAAGUCUUGCCCAUGAGAAAGAUGUGGAGGAUGUCCUCAUGGGGAUGACUGAGGACAGAGACCAGGUGGAGGAUGGCCAUCCUGACUCCAUUUUACAGGUAACUAGUGGUGGGAACCUUGACAACCAGACUAUAAGGAUGUCCUUGGCAACUGCUACUAUGCCUAACCCAGACUCAGAAUCGGUUCUACAGGAUUUACAACAGCAGACUGGUGAUGAGCGGAAAGAUGUUGAAACUCAAGUUGCCUUGGAGACUGAUAGUGAGCAUGAAGAGGAAGUUGAGCAAAUUUUUCAACAAAGCGGGGCAAAUGCUGAGGAUGGAAAUGCAGAUAUCCUACAGAUUGACCUACAUACAGCGGCCCAGGAUCAGGAGGCUGCCGAGAAUGUGGUCAUCAGUCUGCAGACAACUAUGGAUACAAGAUCAAAAAAGAGAAGAGAAAGCAGUGAAGAUAGUACCAGUCCAUCCAAGAGAAUAAAGAUCAGCUAAGGGGAGCUAAGAAGAUGCGCAAUCACCCUCAUAAUAGCAUGAUCAUGAAAUUUCAUACGAGAGGAAUUUGUUCUCAUUUGAUAAGACACAGAUGGAUAUACCAUAUUUAUCCAGCAAUAAGCCCAAUAUACAAUCUCAUAGUGGAAAAUCGGCUUAUUACAGAACAUUGAAAUAUCAUUAGCAUACCUGCCAACCCCGGCUAUACCGAAAAAGGGUGAUGUCACUCUUUUGAAAAUAAAAGAGAGGGUCAUAGCGUGUGACGUCUUUUUUCGGCAAUAAAUAUAAAACCAGUAGAUAUUAAAUUAGAACUUCAAUAUUUUGUUGAUGCAAAAGGUGUAGUCUACAGUAAGAACAUUCAUUGACAGCUCUUGUUGUAUUCAGGUGCAGUCUACAGUAAGACCAUUCAUUGACAGCUCUUAUAGUCAGGUGUAGUCUACAGUAAGAACAUUCAUUGAGAGCUCUUGUUGUAGUCAGUUGUAGUCUACAGUAAGAACAUUCAUUGACAGCUCUUGUUGUAGUCAGGUGUAGUCUACAGCAAGACCAUUCAUUGACAGCUCUUAUAGUCAGGUGGAGUCUACAGUAAGAACAUUCAUUGACAGCUCUUGUUGUAUUCAGGUGUAGUCUACAGUAAUAACAUUCAUUGACAGCUCUUGUUGUAUUCCGGUGUAGUCUACAGUAAGAACGUUCAUUGACAGCUCUUGUUGUAUGCAGGUGUAGUCUACAGUAAGACCAUUCAUUGACAGCCCUUGUUGUAUUCAGGUGUAGUCUACAGUAAUAACAUUCAUUGACAGCUCUUGUUGUAUUCAGGAGUAGUCUACAGUAAUAACAUUCAUUGACAGCUCUUGUUGUAUUCAGGUGUGGUCUAUAGUAAGAAUGUUCAUUGACAGCUCUUGUUAUAGUCAGGUGUAGUCUACAGUAAGACUAUUCAUUGACAGCUCUUGUUGUAUUCAGGUGUGGUCUAUAGUAAGAAUGUUCAUUGACAGCUCUUGUUGUAUUCAGGUUUAGUCUACAGUAAUAACAUUCAUUGACAGCUCUUGUUGUAUUCCGGUGUAGUCUACAGUAAGAACGUUCAUUGACAGUUCUUGUUGUAUUCAGGUGUAGUCUAUAGUAAGAAUGUUCAUUGACAGCUCUUGUUGUAGUCAGGUGUAGUCUAUAGUAAGAACAUUCAUUGAGAGCUCUUGUUGAAGUCAGUUGUAGUCUACAGUAGGAACAUUCAUUGACAGCUCUUGUUGUAUUCCGGUGUAGUCUACAGUAAGAACGUUCAUUGACAGCUCUUGGUGUAUUCAGGUGUAGGCUACAGUAAGAACGUUCAUUGACAGCUCUUGUUGUAGUCAGGUGUAGUCUACAGCAAGACCAUUCAUUGACAGCUCUUGUUGUAUUCAGGCGUAGUCUACAGUAAGACCAUUCAUUGACAGCCCUUGUUGUAUUCAGGUGUAGUCUACAGUAUGAACGUUCAUUGACAGCUCUUGUUGUAUUCAGGAGUAGUCUACAGUAAGAACAUUCAUUGACAGCUCUUGUUGUAUUCAGGCGUAGUCUACAGUAAGACCAUUCAUUGACAGCUCUUGUUGUAGUCAGGUGUAGUCUAUAGUAAGAACAUUCAUUGAGAGCUCUUGUUGUAGUCAGUUGUAGUCUACAGUAGGAACAUUCAUUGACAGCUCUUGUUGUAUUCAGGUGUAGUCUACAGCAAGAACGUUCAUUGACAGCUCUUGUUGUAGUCAGUUGUAGUCUACAGUAAGACCAUUCAUUGAAAGCUCUUGUUGUAGUCAGGUGUAGUCUACAGUAAGACCAUUCAUUGACAGCUCUUGUUGUAGUCAGGUGUAACAGAUUAUGCAGCAGCUUAUACAGUUGCUGGUGGUUGAUAUUUAGGACAAGAAUCAUGUUGAUUAAAUUUACAGCCUAGCAGGACACACAAAGUGUCAUUAUGCAAAUCUGCUCUAAAUUUAAUGUGUAUUUUUUUUAAAGCUCUUUCUGAGUCUGUAUUACUAUUUGGCAGUACCAACUGUUUUUUGCCAGUCAAGACAACACAUGAAAUCUUCGUUUCUGAGACAAGAUGUCUUCGACUGUACUCGUAUGUCCCCAGUAUUGUUCAAUCCUGCUUUCAUUUUCACAUGCUUGAAUAUCACCAACAGGGAUUAGUUAAUAGUCUGAGAACUGUGCUGCCAGCAGGUUUAGCUGAUCCUCAUCCAAGAUAUCCCGGAAACUCUUCACCAAAUUCAAAACUGAAAAAUAGCAAGAUUUUUCAACAACACUACCCAUAAAAUAAGCUUGGCAUCAGAUCUAACUGUAUGCGAUUUACAAAGAGUGCAGUAUUCAUUGUUUGGUCCAUGAUCACUGGGGUUAUCUUCUUCAACUCAUUUGUCUAUGACAUUUGAUAUAUGCCCAAAUAUCUUUCAAUUUUUCACAUUUAGUAUAGUAGAACCUGCAGGUCCCGAUAAUGACAUCUUUUUUCAAGAAGAUAUACCUUCCAAAUGUGAUCUAGACUACGGGAUUUUAAAAACAACUGAACUUUGUGUAAAAACAUCUUUCUACUUACCUGUAGAUAAGUUUGGUCACAUCGGUCUAUAUAUAAACAUUUGUAAAAAACAAUUCAAGUAUGUAAAGACAACUAACAACUUUCCUGUCACUGAGAAAUGAAACAGGAAAUGGACCGUCUUCCUUUCGGCAGAGGAUAAAAAAGUCUAGACAAUUCCAAAUGACUUCGAUACCUUCCAAUGUACGAAAAAAUUCCAGAUGAAAAGAUUGAAAAUAGUAACCCAGCGUGUGAAGUUGUUAAAGCUGGUUAAGGACUAACAUUCUGGGUGUAAUCCGAUGAAAUCAGGUCACUUAGCAGGUAUGCAUUUGUUAACAUUUAUACUUAACUAAAGAUAUGAGUGAGUUAUUACCAGGCAUGGGCAUAUUGCCAGAUAAAUAAAUCAACUGAAUUCCUUAAUAUUUUCAUUACUUUUUCAAUUUGAAUUGUAAAUGUUGAUACAUGUGACUGAAAGCAUACGUCUAUAUUGCUGUGCAAUGCCUUGUGAAUGAACAACUUCUAAACAUUUUUCUAUUAAAAAUAUGAGUUUAUAAAUAACUUUUAAUUAGCCAGCAAUGAAGUAAUUUGAAGUCUGAACAUUAUCUUGUGAUUAUUGACACUUUUAUUCAUAAAAUUUGUUCAUGUUGACAGUUAAUUCUUUGAUAUUUAUAUACUAAGAAAAGGGCCCCGAGACAAAUACCAGGUAUUGUUUUUACAGGGUGUGUAAUAUGUUCUAACUUUACCAUGCUUAAAGAAACCGAAUUGAUUCAUAUUUCAGUACAAGUAUGAUGAUAUUUUAUUUCAUCGAUUGGUAUCCAAUCUUACAUCUGCACAUAUACUGUUACCAUUUUUCUGUAUAAUACAGUAACUGAGCAGUCUCAGCAUGUUGAAACAGACAUUAGAUUUUAAGCGAUAUCAGUACUCGAGUCAUAUUUAGUUUGUGUGUAGGCCUGUAUGUUUGGCAGUACACAUAUAUUCCUGAAACUUAGCUUGAAUCAAGACAUGAGCUAUCUGGUUGUCCCACAGUACAUGUUAUGCCAGUGAUAACACCUUAUUUAUGCCUGGUAAUAACUCGCCCAUAUAUCUAUUGUAGCUCGAAAGAGGAAAGAUUCCACUAUUCAUGCCAUUUCACAAUCUAGCUGGAUUAUUUAAGACCACCUGUAGGCAAUCUAAGAAAAUCCUUCAAGUUGUAUAAUAAGAGUACAUGAUAAUAAACUUUAUCUAUUUGACAACAAUUAUGAAACAAGUUAUUUCCUCUCAACUUAUAUUAAUCACUCUUCUUUGCUCAAAUGUUAGUGCACAGGGGGUCUUAAUAUGGGAGAAAACCCACAUGGUCAGGCAGGUGACCUCACACCUUUUCACGUCCGAUCGGGGAAUCGAACCCUGGCUGCCUUAGUUAAAAGGCAAGUACGCUAUCCACUGUGCCACCUGACAAGCCUUGGAGUACAUUUGAGCUUCAGUCCAUAUUUUUAUGAAACCUCAUAAAGUGUGAGAUUUAAGGAGACAAGCUACCUUUGCACAUAUACUACACAUGAUUUGUGUGUGUGUGUGUGCCAAAGAUAACCUGAAUCCGUCAAAGCUUUUUAUUCUAUGCUGUUAAGUAUUUGUCCCCUUGUUAAAUCAAUGAUUAAGAUGAAACCAGAAUGUAUGAUAAUCCUUAUAAUUGGCCUAAAAGUUAUGGAAUCUAAAGCCUCCGUGUUUAGUGUUCCAAACUGUAAUAUCAAAGUUUCUGGAAUUGUAUAUUUUUUUUUAUUAAGUACUGUGUUCAUUGUGAAAAGUAGAAUAUUUGUGAAAUAUAAUAUUUAUCGGUGCAACCUAGGUUUAGUUCAUUGCUGUGAACUUCUUUUAGAUUGAAAAUCCAUGCUAGUCAAAGUCUGUCUCGGAUAUAUUCACUGAUUGUGUGAUACCAAACCAAGGUGUGACACUAAAGAGGUUCAUUGAAUGGGUGAUAUAAAGCAGUCGGGUGUCAUGUGCCUGAUCUUGUUCAUCGAUUACUGGUCGCUGGCCGAAGGGUUUCAUGAUCAUUAAAUUAAGUUAUUGGUAAUGUAUUAUUAUAAUGUUACCUUGUUAUUAGAAUCAUUGGUCAGAUUACUGUUAUUUAUUACCUAUUGUAAGGUCAUAGUGAGAAGGUAUUGUAUAUUAUGCCAGUUUAACAUUAUAUUUUGUAGAUUUUCUUUGAAUAUGAUAAAAUACCCUGAUAUAUGACUUUUAAAAUAGUUUAUGGCUGCACUUGAAUUAGCACUUUGAGUUUGCACAAACAAAUAUUGCCAAAAUAAAAUUACAGCUUGCAUAAUAAAUUAUACAGUUGACAGUAAUAAUUCUCAUAUACUUUCUAAUUUUAAUUUAAUAUUGAAAAUGUUUAUUUUGAUUUUGUUAACACCAUAUGUUUUCUGGCCACAAGCUUGUUACUUUGUAAGGUAUGUGAGGAAAAUGUGUAUGUGUGUAUAUGUGUGUUUAAAAGAUUUGUUCGAACUUGACUAGUACAUGUGUGCUACCUUUUUGUCCAAACUUCAAUAUUAAAACCCUGUUAUUGUUUUAAAAUGUUAUUUGCCUUUUUGAAAAAUAUUGAAUUUUGUGAAAGCAUGUUCUGCGAGAUAAAUGUGUACAGUUUGUGCUACCCUGUAUAUAUUGGACGCAGAGGGAGUCGGUGUAACAAGGCAUUGUAAAAAUGAAGUGCACCUCAGUGUCCAAAGCUGCAACAGAAUUGGAAUGUUAGAUCUGCCUUAUUUGAUUACGACGGACUGCAAUUCAAAUUGUCCAACUGAAUGACGAGUGGUUUUGUUUAUUUUGAGACAUAAGAGGCACAUGCUGUAUUGUGUUGAUAUGUGUUGCAAAUGUACAAACUAUUAAAGGUAUUGUUUCUUCCAAACAUCUUGAGAUAAACUAUUACAUAACA